rnacentral:lncRNA from 1 species
CAAUCAUUAGGGCUUGAUUCUGUUGGAAAGAACAGAGAGAGCUGUACUGAGUCAUCCCAGUAACUCAAGUAGUACUGCCUCGUGUCUGGCUUGGGUCACAGCAGCUGUGUGAGGAGGAAUCUAUAGCACAUGGUACUUCCCUUGAUGUUACCUUCCGGGCUGGCAGUAGUCUGCAAGAGAGAAACUUUCUGAACCAGAGAUUUGUUCUUCCUUUCUCCUCUCUGAGAUCAGUGACAGCUGUGGGCUCAAUAAUCUCUAAAACCCACGCUUCUAUAUUUAAAUGCCUAAAUAUAGAUGUAGAGGCCUAUGAGUUUGUGGGCACCAUUGAAGUGGACUGGAAAUUUCCCAUUUGCUUUUCUGGCCCUAUUUCAGGUAACCAGCCUGAAAAAAAAAAAAAAAAGAGGAAGAAAGAUUAAGUGGCUCGUGCAAGAUGGCUGAACAAAUGGGACAAAUGGCUGGCAAUGCUCAGGAGUUCUGGAUUCCAUUCUCGUGUUCCAACUGCUGAAUUAAAUUUGUUCUUGUAGAGAAAGAGCUCAUGCUGGAACUGACUGAGUUGCAUCUCGUCUGGGUGAUAUCUCUGGGCAAAUUCCAUCAGAAGACAUUGGGCAGCCACACCCAGGGCCAGAAUUUUCUCAAAAUCACCAGCAGUGGGUUUUUUUUCCAGUGCUGCAGACAGAUACCCAACAAUGAUGAACUAUUCUUCUGUGUUUACUUUAUUUGUCCUGUUGGGCUGGCAGUGCUAAGUGCUGCAAUUGACGGAGCAGCAGCCGAGCUGGCAGUGGAAAUGUCCAGACAGCCCAUGAACAGCAGCUUAAUGCAAGUGCAGGUUCUGCUGCAAAAAUCUCAUGAUGUUACUGCCCUUGGCUAGUCAUGGCUAAACUUGAUCACAUACUGCUGCAGACUCUGCUUUUACUGAGUGACUUUCAGCCAGCUAGCUUUGAUAGCAGAGCAAAUGUUGACUUGUUGGGAUCAAGCGUGAGAUUGAAAAGCAUAUUUAUGCCCUCUUAAUAAAGAAAAUCGUAGCUCUGACCGCUGUGGGAGU